UCCUUUGUGCCUCUUUUAUAUCUACAAAUCCCUAAAGAAAAUCUGAAACCGGUAUCGUCCUUCGCGUAAACUCUGAGCAUUCAAGUUACAACACUGACGGUUGUGUCUUGUUUCAAAAAAAAAGUGUGUGUAAGUGUUAUAUCUGCUCUUGUUCUUAGUUAUUAAAAAAACAAAGUAUCAAAAAAAAGGAAUGUGAAAAAAAAGAGAGUUGAGGAAGAAAAGUUG
rnacentral:lncRNA from 1 species